rnacentral:rRNA from 1 species
AGCGAACGCUGGCGGCAGGCCUAACACAUGCAAGUCGAACGGAUCCUUCGGGAUUAGUGGCGGACGGGUGAGUAACACGUGGGAACGUGCCCUUUGGUUCGGAACAACUCAGGGAAACUGGAGCUAAUACCGGAUGUGCCCUUCGGGGGAAAGAUUUAUCGCCAUUGGAGCGGCCCGCGUCUGAUUAGCUAGUUGGUGAGGUAAAGGCUCACCAAGGCGACGAUCAGUAGCUGGUCUGAGAGGAUGAUCAGCCACAUUGGGACUGAGACACGGCCCAAACUCCUACGGGAGGCAGCAGUGGGGAAUCUUGCGCAAUGGGCGAAAGCCUGACGCAGCCAUGCCGCGUGAAUGAUGAAGGUCUUAGGAUUGCAAAAUUCUUUCACCGGGGACGAUAAUGACGGUACCCGGAGAAGAAGCCCCGGCUAACUUCGUGCCAGCCGCCGCGGUAAGAC